rnacentral:lncRNA from 1 species
AGGUCCAGGGCUGCAGAGAGAGGACCGCGGCAGGGCGUCGCGCCCGACCAGUGAGACCGUGAUAGUAUAGUAGCUUUCUUUUUUGCAUUAGUCACCUAUGUAUAGAAAGAGAUUUAUUGUGGGUGAGGAAUUGGAGAGCUAUGUAUUUUGGGAUGAAAAAUGAUGUAAAGAAUGCAAUUAUUGUAAUAGUUAGUAAAGUACUCUCUUUAUUUCA